rnacentral:misc_RNA from 1 species
GAACUGCGAUAAGUAAUGUGAAUUGCAGAAUUCAGUGAAUCAUCGAGUCUUUGAACGCACAUUGCGCCCCCUGGCAUUCCGAGGGGCAUGCCUGUCCGAGCGUCAUUGCUGCCCUUCAAGCCCGGCUUGUGUGUUGGGUCGUCGUCCCCUCCGGGGGACGGGCCCGAAAGGCAGCGGCGGCACCGCGUCCGGUCCUCGAGCGUAUGGGGCUUUGUCACCCGCUCGAUAAGGACCGGCCGGGCGCCAGCCGGCGUCUCCAACCUUUUUUUCUCAGGUUGACCUCGGAUCAGGUAGGGAUACCCGCUGAACUUAAGC